CCUACGGGAGGCAGCAGUGGGGAAUAUUGCGCAAUGGGCGAAACCCUGAAGCAGCAACGCCGCGUGGAGGAUGAAGGUUUUCGGAUUGUAAACUCCUUUUGUUAGAGAAGAUAAAGACGGUAUCUAAGGAAUAAUCACCGGCUAACUCCUUGCCAGCAGCCGCGGUAAUACGGAGGGUGCAAGCGUUACUCGGAGUCACUGGUCGGAAAGAGCGCGUAGGCGGGAGAGCAAGUCAGAUGUGAAAUCCUAUGGCUUAACCAUAGAACUGCAGUUGAAACUGUUAUUCUAGAGUAUGGGAGAGGUAGGUGGAAUUCUUGGUGUAGGGGUAAAAUCCGUAGAGAUCCAGAGGAAUACUCAUUGCGAAGGCGACCUGCUAGAACAUAACUGACGCUGAGGCGCGAAAGCGUGGGGAGCAAACAGGAUUAGAUACCCCUGUAGUC
rnacentral:rRNA from 1 species